UACAGAGGUGGCAAGCGUUGUUCGGAAUUACUGGGCGUAAAGGGCGCGUAGGCGGCCUUCUAAGUCAGACGUGAAAUCCCCGGCUUAACCUGGGAACUGCGUCUGAUACUGGAGGGCUUGAGUGCGGGAGAGGGAUGUGGAAUUCCAGGUGUAGCGGUGAAAUGCGCAGAUAUCAGGAGGAACACCGGUGGCGAAGGCGGUGAUCUGGGCCGAACACUGACGUGUAGAGCGAAAGCGUGGGGAGCGAACAGGA
rnacentral:rRNA from 1 species